UUGAUCUCAAAUCAGGUAGGACUACCCGCUGAACUUAAGCAUAUCAUAAAGCGGAAGGAA
rnacentral:rRNA from 1 species